rnacentral:rRNA from 1 species
UACGUAGGGUGCAAGCGUUAAUCGGAAUUACUGGGCGUAAAGCGUGCGCAGGCGGUUAUUCAAGUCAGAUGUGAAAGCCCCGGGCUUAACCUGGGAAUUGCGUUUGAAACUAGAUAACUAGAGUCUGUCAGAGGGGGGUGGAAUUCCACGUGUAGCAGUGAAAUGCGUAGAGAUGUGGAGGAACACCGAUGGCGAAGGCAGCCCCCUGGGAUAAGACUGACGCUCAUGCACGAAAGCGUGGGGAGCAAACAGG